AUUAAGAUGGAAAAUUGCAGACUGCUAUGGAAAUGUUCAACCUUAGACUAGGUAGGGAUAUCAGAGAAGGUUUUUCUGAGGAAGUGACAUUUAAGAUGAGACUUGAAACCACUGGGCAAAGAAGUGGGGGAAAAAGUGAUACAGGCAGGGGAAAACAACAAGUACAAAGGUUCUGAAGCUGAGAGGUUGUAAAAAAUCUCUGAAAGGUAGUGUAUCUAGCUGGUCCUGAGAAUGGAGGAGGGGGGAGAAUUGAGGUCUUUAGGUCCAUAGGAUGGAGAAGGGGAAGGGACACGCAGGCAAGAUUUUAAGUGGGUUUUACCCUUUUUUUCAUUUCAUGUAGCCUUUUUCCAUAUUAUUAUGUGGUUUUCUUUUUACAUGGCCAAAAUUUUUCUGUAGAGUACUUUUCAGAGUAUAGCAUUUCUGCAUAAUACCUCUGGGAGUGCAACAUAAUUACAUUGUCCGACCAUAUAAACCAUAUAAAUCAUAUAAAUUCUACUUCUAGGUAGAUAGCCAAGAAAAAUGGGGGCAUGUCCAAGCAAAAACUUGUCCAUGUAGGGUGCCUGGCUGGCUCAGUCAUUAGAGCAUGCGACUCUUGAUCUCAGGGUUGUAAGUUUAAGCUCUGUGUUGGGUAUAGAGAUUAGUUAAAAACUAAAAAUUUUAAAAUUAAAAAAAAAAUUGUCCAUGAAUGUUCAUAAUAGCAUUAUCCAUACAAGCCAAAAGGUGAAACGAUAUGUAUGUCUACCAACUGAUGAACACAUAAAUUAAAUGUGGUAUAUCUAUGCAAUGAAAUAUUUGGCCAUAAGAAGGAUGUGUUGAUAUAUGGGGUAACAUGAAUGACCCUCGAGAACAUAUAAAGUCUUUUGUGAUGGGUUUCUUUCACUUAGCAUGAUGACUCUGUUUAUAUGAAAUGUCCAGGAUAGGCAGAUCCUUAGAGACAGAAAGGAUUAAUGGUUGCGUAGCCCUGGGUGCAGAGGUGGAAUUGGGGAAUGAUAGCCAAAGAAUGUUGGGUUUCUUUUUGAGGCAAACGUUCUAAAAUUGAUUGUGAUGAUGGUUGUACUACUCUGAAUAUACUAAAAAACACUGAAUUGUAUACUUAAUCGGAUUGGAUGAAAUGUGAAUUAUAUAUCAAUAAUGCUAUUAUCAAAAAAAUGAAGGAAAGAAACAAAAAUAAUCCAACUAAUUGUCCUUCAUAACCUUUUUUGGAUUAUUCCUGGGUCCAAUGGUCUUUACCGUUUUAUGGAUUUUGUUGAAUACCAAAUUUGCCAAGUUGUUUGGCAGAGAGGUAAACCAGUUAAAAUGUAACUGGGAAUAUUUAAGAGCUUCUACUUCGUUAUAUACUUAACCUUUUUGAAGUUUAGGUUUAUUUAAAGUAUCUUACUGUCUGUGAGAGUGCCAGUGACAAUUUAGUCUAUAGCACUAUAAAUGUAAUUUCGAGUAAUUAAUAGGUGUUAAGGAAAAAGUUCCAGUUGUCCUAACAAAAACUAUCAGCAUUCUUCUACACUUUUAAUCCAAGUCUCUUUUUCCUUAAUAACUGUGACAUUGCUUUUACGAUGGUUGUAGUUGUAAAAAAGCCUUUGAAAUUACCUGAGAAAAUCAAUAAGGCAUAUGAAGAAAAGAUGUUACUAUCCAUUUAUUGAAAAUAUAGAGGUCAAGUAAAUCUGCAGGACUGGUCACACAGCGUGGAGAGACACAGCCAGCGUGCAGACCUUCCUUGUCUGACUCCAGAGCCAGCUGUGCUUUCAAUAACCACCCUUCCCUGCCUCACCCUGUGGGUAUUUCUGGCUUGCAUUAAAUCUUUGAAUAAAAAUACUCGCCCUCUGGU